CGGGUCCUGCCCGGCCGGUGCCGCUGGAGGGCAGUGAUCGCAUGCCCGGAGAGCGGAGCUCACCGCCCAAAACACACCGCCCAAAGACUGCUUAGAUCGCCUUGACCGAGUAAGAUAUUCCCAAUUCGCAGAAUUUAACAUAACUUGAGCUCAGUCUAGUGGCUGCCUAAAGGCCCUGUUUCAGCAGAUGUGCCCAACAGGAGCAGUGGUGCUUGAUUAUGUCAGGUUUGGCCCACAAUACAAGACAUGUCUUUGACCUCUGAUGCCCACAUUUUGCUCAGGGUGAUAACUCUACAGAAAAUGCUGUGUUCUCUCUGGGUCAUGUGAGAACCCUCUUUGGCAUGAGCUUCUGAGAGCUGCUGUGGGCAGCAGAAGGUUGCCCAGUUGUUUGCCUAACUUCCAGCUGUGGAUGCUGUACACCUACAAAAGGCAAUUGCACCUUCAGCUGAGCUGUGCUCGCCAAUGGGAUUCUACAAGAAUUGUGCCUAAGCCAACCUGCCACAACUUGUGCUGGUGUCAGUGACCUCUCAUCUGGACAUCACAUGGCUCAUCCUGCCAAGUACUUCUUCUGUCUUGUCAUGGUCUGACCUACUCAUCGCUCACUCUGACUUGGGGAAUCCUUGUCACAGGAAGAAAAGCACAGAAGGUGGUGUGCCUCUGGUCACCUGGUGAUUUACAGGGUCUCUUUCUUCUCUCAUUAUCACUGCAGGGCAUGGAAGAGGGGAAGAAAGAGGCUGCUGUAACUGGCAGGUUCUCCCAGCUGUGUGUCCUUCGGGCACCUGUGUGGGUAUGAUGGGGAUUGAAGGCUUUAGCAGGAGCCUUAUGAAGAAACUGCAAUGUCUCAGCAAGAAACUGAUUUUGCAUCAGAUACAAGCUUCAGAGAGCCUGUAAGCCCUGAGCUCCUGCCAACCCACAGGGAAUAAGUCCAGAGGGUACUGUUUGGGCAGCCACGGAGUGCAAGAGAGUGUUCAGCUGUAGAUGCAAUAUGAAUUGUCCCUGCAGUUUAUUCUUACAUGGUUAGAAGGUGAAUGAGUUUGGAACUGUUGGAGACAAUCAGAGAAUU